AGAGCGAACGCUGGCGGCAGGCCUAACACAUGCAAGUCGAACGGACCCUUCGGGGUUAGUGGCGGACGGGUGAGUAACACGUGGGAACGUGCCUUUAGGUUCGGAAUAGCUCCUGGAAACGGGUGGUAAUGCCGAAUGUGCCCUUCGGGGGAAAGAUUUAUCGCCUUUAGAGCGGCCCGCGUCUGAUUAGCUAGUUGGUGAGGUAAAGGCUCACCAAGGCUACGAUCAGUAGCUGGUCUGAGAGGAUGACCAGCCACAUUGGGACUGAGACACGGCCCAAACUCCUACGGGAGGCAGCAGUGGGGAAUCUUGCGCAAUGGGCGAAAGCCUGACGCAGCCAUGCCGCGUGAAUGAUGAAGGUCUUAGGAUUGUAAAAUUCUUUCAGUAGGACGAUAAUGACGGUACUACAGAAGAAGCCCGGCUAAACUUCGUAGCCAGCAGCCGC
rnacentral:rRNA from 1 species